rnacentral:rRNA from 1 species
CCCAUAACUCAGGGAUAGCCUUUCGAAAGAAAGAUUAAUACCUGAUAGUACUUUUUUCUAAGGCAUCUUGAGAAAGUUAAAGAUUUAUUGGUAUGGAUGGGGAUGCGUUCCAUUAGAUAGUUGGUGAGGUAACGGCUCACCAAGUCUUCGAUGGAUAGGGGUUCUGAGGGGAAGGGUCCCCCCACAUUGGUACUGAGACACGGACCAAACUCCUACGGGAGGCAGCAGUGAGGAAUAUUGGUCAAUGGGCGGAGAGCCUGAACCAGCCAAGUAGCGUGAAGGGAAUGAAGGUCCUAUGGAUUGUAAACUUCUUUUAUAGUAGAAUAAAGUGAUCCACGUGUGGAUUUUUGUAUGUAUACUAUGAAUAAGGAUCGGCUAACUCCGUGCCAGCCGCCGC